rnacentral:rRNA from 1 species
UAGGGUAUCUUCCACAAUGGACGAAAGUCUGAUGGAGCAACGCCGCGUGAGCGAAGAAGGGUUUCGGCUCGUAAAACUCUGUUGUUAAAGAAGAACAUAUCUGAGAGUAACUGUUCAGGUAUUGACGGUAUUUAACCAGAAAGCCACGGCUAACUACGUACCAG